GCUGCUCGAAUAAUAUCACACACCUCUCCGUGGUGGGCGAGCAGGCAACGAUUUAUUAUGAUCGGCGAAGAUGUGAAG
rnacentral:ribozyme from 1 species